AUUGAACGCUGGCGGCAGGCCUAACACAUGCAAGUCGAGCGGAGCGGCGGACGGGUGAGUAAUGCAUAGGAAUCUGCCUGGUAGUGGGGGAUAACGUCCGGCAACGGGCGCUAAUACCGCAUACUAUCAGAUGAGCCUAGGUUGGAUUGGCUAGUUGGUGGGGUAAAGGCCUGCCAAGGCGACGAACCGUACCUGGUCUGGGAGGAGGAUCAGUCAGCCUGGAACUGAGUCGCGGUCGAGAGUCCUACGGGAGCGAGCAGUGGGGAAUAUUGGCCAAUGGGCGAAAGCCUGGUCCAGCCAUGCCGCGUGUGUGAAGAGGGUCUUCGGAUUGUAAAGCCCUUUAAGUUGAGAGGCGUUACCCGCAGAAGAAGCACCGGCUAACUCCGUGCCAGCAGCCGCGGUAAUUC
rnacentral:rRNA from 1 species